rnacentral:rRNA from 1 species
GACGAACGCUGGCGGCGUGCUUAACACAUGCAAGUCGAACGAAGUGGCGAACGGGUGAGUAACGCGUAAUACACCUGCCCUUCAGAGGGGGACAACAGUUGGAAAAGACUGCUAAUCCCGCAUACUGAAGGAGAGGAUGGCGUCUGAUUAGUGAGUUGGAGGUGUAACGGCCCACCAAGGCGAUGAUCAGUAGCCGGUCUGAGGGGAUGAACGGGCACAUUGGGCCUGGUGCCCGGCCCAGACUCCUACGGGAGGCAGCAGUGGGGAAUCUUCCGCAAUGGACGAAAGGCUGACGUAGCAACGCCGCGUGAUUGAUGACGGCCUUCGGGUUGUAAAGCUCUGUUAAUCGGGACGCGGUACCGGAAUAGAAAGCCACGGCUAACUACGUGCCAGCAGCCGCGGUAAUAC